CAGUCGCCGCGGGAAUGCGUAGGGUGCGAGCGUUAAUCGGAUUUACUGGGCGUAAAGGGCUCGCAGGCGGCUUCUUAAGUCUGAUGCGAAAGCCCCCGGCUCAACCGGGGAGGGUCAUUGGAAACUGGGAAACUUGAGUGCAGAAGAGGAGAGUGGAAUUCCGAGUGUAGAGGUGAAAUUCGUAGAUAUUGGAAAGAACACCGGUGGCGAAGGCGGCAACCUGGUCUUUAACUGACGCUGAGGCGCGAAAGCGUGGGGAGCAAACAGGAUUAGAUACCCCCGUAGUCCCUGUCUCUUAUAC
rnacentral:rRNA from 1 species